GCGAGGUAAUCAAAAUCGACUGCUCAUUGCUCAAUCUGACAAUCUGUGUACAUUGACUGCUCAAUGUAUCAAAAUUGCUAGUGGAUGCAUUUCAAUCUCACACAGUUGACAUGAAGAAGUCAAAAAUGACAUUUGGUUUAGACAAAUAAGCACAACAAACAUGAUCUUGUGUACAGACUUCUCAAAUUUGUGCUAGUGUUACCUGUAGCAACUGCUACCGUAGAGAGUGUUUUCAAUAAUGAAUCAUGUGAAGAACAAGUUGAGAAAUAGGAUGGGAGAUCAGUACUUGAAUGAUUGUUUGGUAACCUUUAUUGAGCGUCAGUUCUUUUUGCAAGUCAAAGAUAAUGACAUCAUCAAUCGGUAUCAAGCAAUGAGGGAUCGGAAAGUUAAAAUUAAAUUGUAAUUUUCUUCUAAUGUUUUAUAAUCACAAUUUGUUAUGGAAUACAUUUAGUUUGUACUAUAUGUAUGUUUUAUUUAUUCCCUUGUGAACUUUUUAUGUCGUUCGUCUAAAUAUUUUCUUGCAAUGGGCAUACCCUACUCUGAAAUCCUGGGUCCGCCACUGCUCUGGAGGCCACUGCUAUGACAAUCCACUGGAUGUUGAUGCCGGUGACGAAGAAGUUGGCGAGGCCUUUGAAACACUCUCCCAGGUAAUUGCCUCCAUAUGGUAGUGAAUUGUGAAUGGUUGCCUAUGAUAUUAUGGUUCAAAAUGUAUGCUAGGGACUUGUGAAUGGUUGUCUCUGAUAUAGAAUUGUAUGCUAGGGACUAUGUCAUGAUAGGAGGGUUUAAAUUGUCGAUGCUUGCCAUUUAUUUUCUAGUAGAUUGACGUUGCAAUGCCUUAGUGUGACAUUUUAUUUUCUGGUAUAGAAUCUUUAUGACAGGGCCGAUUGGUCCGAGGAAAACACAUAUUUACUAUGAACUUGAUGUUGAUGAAAUAAGGGUAGGGAAUUGUUGUAAUGGAAUUGUGUUCAUAGCAAGUCCUUUGAGCAGUAGCAGUCGCAAGAGAACAAGCAACACUACAGACAUAGCUACAAGCCCAAACAAGAAGACUAAGAGCCCAAUGGUCAAGAUGUUCUAGGGGCUUCUAGUUGACGCCGCAGCGCUGGUUCGCAUGUGGUCAUGGCGCCGCCGCGAUCGCGGUGGGUGGAGGUGGGACAAGGACUGGAUGAUGAGCUUCAGGGAGAUCUGGGACGACGUCAGCUACACGGAUGCUGGGCUGCCGCGGAACGUUCUCGUGCUCGCCGUCGUGUGCCCGUCGGACCCCAACUAGGUCUACUUCGCCCUGGAGCACUGCCUCUUCGGCGUCAAUGUGCCGGCGCACAAAAUGUUGCACAUCGAUCCCUAUGAGCUAGUGAAUGUCCUAGGUCCGCCACGGCCAGCCUUCGGUCGCUACGUUGUUGCAUGGGAGCUCCCACCAGCGGCUGCCCAAGGUAAAUCUAACCAAUGGAGAUGUUUGGAUGUAUACGGUAUAACUAUAAAUUGUUGGAGGAUAGUCUAUUUGUAGCUGCGAUCCUAUGUGCAUGGUGGAGACCUUGUGCAGGCUGGGAUCGGAAUUGUCGAUACGGAGUUCAAUUUGCUCGGAGGUGCAAUGUUCCAAUUAAAUCUCUUGUUCGGCCCCACUAGGAGAUCUGGUGACCACUGUGGAGUGAAAUUCCUGAGGGAGAGUGCACUGAUAUUAGAUGAGCAUGCGACAAAGGGACUUCCAGCCUCGGAGUUCAUGAACAUGUUACGUGAGUCGGGUCUCCUACAGAACAAGAAUGUCACCUAGGUUACCUUUAUGGGUUAUCAAGAUUUUGGAUUCAUGAUAAAUCUCCUAACGAAGGAUCCAUUGCCAGAAACACGACUCCAGUUCCUGUUGCAAGUCGUAGAAUAUUUCCCUUCAUCAUUAGACUGCUCUGUACGGCAUCAAUGGAUGUCAGUAUCUCCUACUGUGAUUGCUUACUAUAGCUCGUAAUCGGCAACAACUCCCUGACUGUAGUAGUCCUGUGCAGUGGAAAUGAUGCUUGCUAAUUAGCAAUGGCUCUGUGAAGCUACGUGACUGAUGCUCAUUAUACUUUUGAGCUACAUACUCUGUCAGUGUGACUCGACCACUCUGCCAAUAUCUCGACCAAUAUUUUGCAGUUUUGUCUUAGGCAGGUGUUGACACUGGGAAAAUGUAUCAGCAAAAAACUGCUUGUAAGACAAUGAUGGGACAAAAAAUUUCUUGUCGGACAAUGACAGAGGAAAAAACUGUUGAAGUCAGAUUACUCUGCUUAAUCAAACUGCAUCAAUGUACCUUUUUUGUCCCAAGGAGAAAUGGAAGCAUGAAGCAGAAUCUAGUGACAUUUAAUACCUGAAUAUGUCAAUUCCAGAUGGGAUGCGAAUAGCUUUGUCCCAAAAGGAAACCACCACGGCCAGCAAUCCCAAUAAAAACCACGUAACUCAUUCCAGGAGCAGUACAACUCCUUUUUCAGAGAAAUCUCUUUCAGUCAAAUUACUAAUAGAUCCGUAGACACAUCAUGCUUACUGAUAGACAAAAUAGGGAUUUGCAGGUGAAUCUAACCAAUGGAGAUGUGUGGAUGUAUACGGUAUAUCUAUCAAUUGUUGGAGGAUAGUCUAUUUGCAGCUGUGAUCCUAUGUGCAUGGUGGAGACCUUGUGCAGGUUGGGAUCGGAAUUGCCGAUACGGAGUUCAAUUUGCUCGGAGGUGCAAUGUUCCAAUUAAAUCUCUUGUUCGACCCCACUAGGAGAUCUGGUGACCACUGUGGAGUGAAAUUCUUGAGGGAGAGUGGACUGAUAUUAGAGGAGCAUGCGACAAAGGGACUUCCAGCCUCGGAGUUCAAGAACAUUUUACGUGAGUCCGGUCUCCUGCAGAACAAGAGUGUCACCUGGGUUACCUUUAUGGGCUAUCAAGAUUUUGGACUCAUGAUAAAUCUCCUAACGAAGGAUCCAUUGCCAGAAACACGACUCUAGUUCCUGUUGCAAGUCGUAGAGUAUUUCCCUUCAUCAUUUGAAUGCAAGUCGUUCUCAAAGUACGACAAGUGCAUCAACAAGGAGAGAGUUCCGGGAAAGCUUGAUGCGGUUGCUAAAGAACUUGGAGCGAAGAGGACUGGGAAGGGGCACCAGGCUGCCUCUGACGCCCUGCUUAGUUUGAGAUGUCUUCAGCGGCCAAAGGGACUUGCUCCAGAUCCAGUAUUUCUACAAGAAUACCUGCGGCGUUCGUUACGGCGUCUAUGGAUGUCAGUAUCUCCUACUGUGAUUGCUUACUGUAGCUCGUAAUCGGAAACAACUCCCUGACUGUAGUAGUGCUGUGCAGUGGAAAUGAUGCUUGCUAAUUGGCAAUGGCUCUGUGAAGCUACGUGACUGAUGCUCAUUAUACUUUUGAGCUACAUAGUCUUUCAGUGUGACUCGACCGCUCUGCCCAAAUCUCGACCAACAUUCUGCAGUUUUGUCUUAGGCAGGUGUUAACACUGGGAUAAUGUAUCAGCACAAAUUUGCUUGGAGGACAAUGAUAGCGACAAAAACAUUUCUCGUCGGACAAUGAUAAAGGAAAAAUAUUGUUGAAGUCAGAUUACUCUGCUUAAUCAAACUGCAUCAAUGUACCUUUUUUGUCCCAAAGGAAAAAUGGAAGCAUGAAGCAGAAUCUAGUGACAUUUAAUACCUGAGUAUGUCAAUUUCAGAUGGGAUGUGAAUAGCUUUGUCCCAAAAGGAAACCACCACGACCAGCAAUCCUAAUAAAAAGCACGUAACUCAUUCCAGGAGCAGCACAACUCUUUUUUUAGAGAAAUCUCUUUCAGUCAAAUUACUAAUAGAUCCGUAGACAGAUCAUACUUACAGAUAGACCAAAUAUGGAUUUGCAGGUAAAUCUAACCAAUGAAGAUGUUUGGAUGUAUACGGUAUAACUAUAAAUUGUUGGAGGAUAGUCUAUUUGCAGCUGCGAUCCUAUGUGCAUGGUGGAGAUCUUGUGCAGGCUGGGAUCUAUUGCCGAUACGGAGUUCAAUUUGCUCGGAGGUGCAAUGUUCCAAUUAAAUCUCUUGUUCGGCCACACUAGGAGAUCUGGUGACCACUGUGGAGUGAAAUUCCUGAGGGAGAGUGAACUGAUAUUAGUGGAGCAUGCGACAAAGGGACUUCCAGCCUCGGAGUUCAAGAACAUGUUACGUGAGUCCGGUCUCCUGCAGAACAAGAAUGUCACCUGGGUUACCUUUAUGGGUUAUCAAGAUUUUGGACUCAUUAUAAAUCUCCUAACGAAGGAUCCAUUGCCAGAAACACGACUCCAGUUCCUGUAGCAAGUCGUAGAGUAUUUCCCUUCAUCAUUUGACUGCAAGUCGUUCUCAAAGUACGGCAAGUGUAUUAACAAGGAGAGAGUUCCGGGAAAGCUUUAUGCGGUUGCUACAGAACUUGGAGCGAAGAGGACUGGGAAGGGGCACCAGGCUGCCUCUGACGCCCUGCUUAGUUUGAGAUGUCUUCAGCGGCCAAAGGGAAUUGCUCCAGAUCCAGUAUUUCUACAAGAAUACCUGCGGCGUUCUUUACGGCGUCUAUGGAUGUCAGCAUCUCCUACUGUGAUUGCUUACUGUAGCUCGUAAUCGGCAACAACUCCCUGACUAUAGUAGUCCCGUGCAGUGGAAAUAAUGCUUGCUAAUUGGCAAUGGCUCUGUGAAGCUACGUGACUGAUGCUCAUUAUACUUUUGAGCUACAUACUCUUUCAGUGUGACUCGACCGCUCUGCCCAAAUCUCGACCAACAUUCUGUAGUUUUUUCUUAGGCAGGUGUUGACACUGGGAUAAUGUAUCAGCACAAAUUUGCUUGGAGGACAAUGAUAGCGACAAAAACAUUUGUCGUCGGACAAUGAUAGAGGAAAAAUAUUGUUGAAGUUAGAUUACUCUGCUUAAUCAAACUGCAUCAAUGUACCUUUUUUGUCCCAAGGAAAAAUGGAAGCAUGAAGCAGAAUCUAGUGACAUUUAAUACCUGAGUAUGUCAAUUUCAGAUGGGAUGUGAAUAGCUUUGUCCCAAAAGGAAACCACCACGACCAGCAAUCCCAAUAAAAAGCACGUAACUCAUUCCAGGAGCAGCACAACUCCUUUUUUAGAGAAAUCUCUUUCAGUCAAAUUACUAAUAGAUCCGUAGACAGAUCAUGCUUACAGAUAGACCAAAUAUGGAUUUGCAGGUAAAUCUAACCAAUGGAGAAGUUUGGAUGUAUACGGUAUAACUAUAAAUUGUUGGAGGAUAGUCUAUUUGCAGCUGCGAUCCUAUGUGCAUGGUGGAGACCUUGUGCAGGCUGGGAUCGGAAUUGCUGAUACGGAGUUCAAUUUGCUCGGAGGUGCAAUGUUCCAAUUAAAUCUCUUGUUCGGCCCCACUAGGAGAUCUGGUGACCACUGUGGAGUGAAAUUCCUGAGGGAGAGUGCACUGAUAUUAGAGGAGCAUGCGACAAAGGGACUUCCAGCCUCGGAGUUCAAGAACAUGUUACGUGAGUCCGGUCUCCUGCAGAACAAGAAUGUCACCUGGGUUACCUUUGUGGGUUAUCAAGAUUUUGAACUCAUGAUAAAUCUCCUAACGAAGGAUCCAUUGCCAGAAACACGACUCCAGUUCCUGUUGCAAGUCGUAGAGUAUUUCCCUUCAUCAUUUGACUGCAAGUCGUUCUCAAAGUACGGCAAGUGUAUCAACAAGGAGAUAGUUCCGGGAAAGAUUGAUGCGGUUGCUACAGAACUUGGAGCGAAGAGGACUGGGAAGGGGCACCAGGCUGCCUCUGACGCCCUGCUUAGUUUGAGAUGUCUUCAGCGGCCAAAGGGACUUGCUCCAGAUCCAGUAUUUCUACAAGAAUACCUGCGGCGUUCUUUACGGCGUCUAUGGAUGUCAGCAUCUCCUACUGUGAUUGCUUACUGUAGCUCGUAAUCGGCAACAACUCCCUGACUGUAGUAGUCCUGUGCAGUGGAAAUGAUGCUUGCUAAUUGGCAAUGGCUCUGUGAAGCUAUUGCUUACUGUAGCUCGUAAUCGGCAACAACUCCCUGACUGUAGUAGUCCUGUGCAGUGGAAAUGAUGCUUGCUAAUUGGCAAUGGCUCUGUGAAGCUACGUGACUGAUGCUCAUUAUACUUUUGAGCUACAUACUCUUUCAGUGUGGCUCGACCGCUCUGCCCAAAUCUCGACCAACAUUCUGUAGUUUUAUCUUAGGCAGGUGUUGACAACUGGAUAAUGUAUCGGCACAAAUUUGCUUGGAGAACAAUGAUAGCGACAAAAACAUUUGUCGUCGGACAAUGAUAGAGGAAAAAUAUUGUUGAAGUCAGAUUACUCUGCUUAAUCAAACUGCAUCAAUGUACCUUUUUUGUCCCAAAGGAAAAAUGGAAGCAUGAAGCAAAAUCUAGUGACAUUUAAUACCUGAGUAUGUCAAUUUCAGAUGGGAUGUGAAUAGCUUUGUCCCAAAAGGAAACCACCACGACCAGCAAUCCUAAUAAAAAGCACGUAACUCAUUCCAGGAGCAGCACAACUCUUUUUUUAGAGAAAUCUCUUUCAGUCAAAUUACUAAUAGAUCCGUAGACAGAUCAUACUUACAGAUAGACCAAAUAUGGAUUUGCAGGUAAAUCUAACCAAUGGAGAUGUUUGGAUGUAUACGGUAUAACUAUAAAUUGUUGGAGGAUAGUCUAUUUGCAGCUGCGAUCCUAUGUGCAUGGUGGAGAUCUUGUGCAGGCUGGGAUCUAUUGCCGAUACGGAGUUCAAUUUGCUCGGAGGUGCAAUGUUCCAAUUAACUCUCUUGUUCGGCCCCACUAGGAGAUCUGGUGACCACUGUGGAGUGAAAUUCCUGAGGGAGAGUGAACUGAUAUUAGUGGAGCAUGCGACAAAGGGACUUCCAGCCUCGGAGUUCAAGAACAUGUUACGUGAGUCCGGUCUCCUGCAGAACAAGAAUGUCACCUGGGUUACCUUUAUGGGUUAUCAAGAUUUUGGACUCAUUAUAAAUCUCCUAACGAAGGAUCCAUUGCCAGAAACACGACUCCAGUUCCUGUAGCAAGUCGUAGAGUAUUUCCCUUCAUCAUUUGACUGCAAGUCGUUCUCAAAGUACGGCAAGUGUAUCAACAAGGAGAGAGUUCCGGGAAAGCUUUAUGCGGUUGCUACAGAACUUGGAGCGAAGAGGACUGGGAAGGGGCACCAGGCUGCCUCUGACGCCCUGCUUAGUUUGAGAUGUCUUCAGCGGCCAAAGGGAAUUGCUCCAGAUCCAGUAUUUCUACAAGAAUACCUGCGGCGUUCUUUACGGCGUCUAUGGAUGUCAGCAUCUCCUACUGUGAUUGCUUACUGUAGCUCGUAAUCGGCAACAACUCCCUGACUGUAGUAGUCCCGUGCAGUAGAAAUGAUGCUUGCUAAUUGGCAAUGGCUCUGUGAAGCUACGUGACUGAUGCUCAUUAUACUUUUGAGCUACAUACUCUUUCAGUGUGACUCGACCGCUCUGCCCAAAUCUCGACCAACAUUCUGUAGUUUUGUCUUAGGCAGGUGUUGACACUGGGAUAAUGUAUCAGCACAAAUUUGCUUGGAGGACAAUGAUAGCGACAAAAACAUUUGUCGUCGGACAAUGAUAGAGGAAAAAUAUUGUUGAAGUCAGAUUACUCUGCUUAAUCAAACUGCAUCAAUGUACCUUUUUUGUCCCAAGGAAAAAUGGAAGCAUGAAGCAGAAUCUAGUGACAUUUAAUACCUGAGUAUGUCAAUUUCAGAUGGGAUGUGAAUAGCUUUGUCCCAAAAGGAAACCACCACGACCAGCAAUCCCAAUAAAAAGCACGUAACUCAUUCCAGGAGCAGCACAACUCCUUUUUUAGAGAAAUCUCUUUCAGUCAAAUUACUAAUAGAUCCGUAGACAGAUCAUGCUUACAGAUAGACCAAAUAUGGAUUUGCAGGUAAAUCUAACCAAUGGAGAAGUUUGGAUGUAUACGGUAUAACUAUAAAUUGUUGGAGGAUAGUCUAUUUGCAGCUGCGAUCCUAUGUGCAUGGUGGAGACCUUGUGCAGGCUGGGAUCGGAAUUGCUGAUACGGAGUUCAAUUUGCUCGGAGGUGCAAUGUUCCAAUUAAAUCUCUUGUUCGGCCCCACUAGGAGAUCUGGUGACCACUGUGGAGUGAAAUUCCUGAGGGAGAGUGCACUGAUAUUAGAGGAGCAUGCGACAAAGGGACUUCCAGCCUCGGAGUUCAAGAACAUGUUACGUGAGUCCGGUCUCCUGCAGAACAAGAAUGUCACCUGGGUUACCUUUAUGGGUUAUCAAGAUUUUGGACUCAUUAUAAAUCUCCUAACGAAGGAUCCAUUGCCAGAAACACGACUCCAGUUCCUGUUGCAAGUCGUAGAGUAUUUCCCUUCAUCAUUUGACUGCAAGUCGUUCUCAAAGUACGGCAAGUGUAUCAACAAGGAGAGAGUUCCGGGAAAGCUUUAUGCGGUUGCUACAGAACUUGGAGCGAAGAGGACUGGGAAGGGGCACCAGGCUGCCUCUGACGCCCUGCUUAGUUUGAGAUGUCUUCAGCGGCCAAAGGGACUUGCUCCAGAUCCAGUAUUUCUACAAGAAUACCUGCGGCGUUCUUUACGGCGUCUAUGGAUGUCAGCAUCUCCUACUGUGAUUGCUUACUGUAGCUUGUAAUCGGCAACAACUCCCUGACUGUAGUAGUGCUGUGCAGUGGAAAUGAUGCUUGCUAAUUGGCAAUGGCUCUGUGAAGCUACGUGACUGAUGCUCAUUAUACUUUUGAGCUACAUAGUCUUUCAGUGUGACUCGACCGCUCUGCCCAAAUCUCGACCAACAUUCUGUAGUUUUGUCUUAGGCAGGUGUUGACACUGGGAUAAUGUAUCAGCACAAAUUUGCUUGGAGGACAAUGAUAGCGACAAAAACAUUUGUCGUCGGACAAUGAUAGAGGAAAAAUAUUGUUGAAGUCAGAUUACUCUGCUUAAUCAAACUGCAUCAAUGUACCUUUUUUGUCCCAAGGAAAAAUGGAAGCAUGAAGCAGAAUCUAGUGACAUUUAAUACCUGAGUAUGUCAAUUUCAGAUGGGAUGUGAAUAGCUUUGUCCCAAAAGGAAACCACCACGACCAGCAAUCCCAAUAAAAAGCACGUAACUCAUUCCAGGAGCAGCACAACUCCUUUUUUAGAGAAAUCUCUUUCAGUCAAAUUACUAAUAGAUCCGUAGACAGAUCAUGCUUACAGAUAGACCAAAUAUGGAUUUGCAGGUAAAUCUAACCAAUGGAGAAGUUUGGAUGUAUACGGUAUAACUAUAAAUUGUUGGAGGAUAGUCUAUUUGCAGCUGCGAUCCUAUGUGCAUGGUGGAGACCUUGUGCAGGCUGGGAUCGGAAUUGCCGAUACGGAGUUCAAUUUGCUCGGAGGUGCAAUGUUCCAAUUAAAUCUCUUGUUCGGCCCCACUAGGAGAUCUGGUGACCACUGUGGAGUGAAAUUCCUGAGGGAGAGUGCACUGAUAUUAGAGGAGCAUGCGACAAAGGGACUUCCAGCCUCGGAGUUCAAGAACAUGUUACGUGAGUCCGGUCUCCUGCAGAACAAGAAUGUCACCUGGGUUACCUUUGUGGGUUAUCAAGAUUUUGAACUCAUGAUAAAUCUCCUAACGAAGGAUCCAUUGCCAGAAACACGACUCCAGUUCCUGUUGCAAGUCGUAGAGUAUUUCCCUUCAUCAUUUGACUGCAAGUCGUUCUCAAAGUACGGCAAGUGUAUCAACAAGGAGAGAGUUCCGGGAAAGCUUGAUGCGGUUGCUACAGAACUUGGAGCGAAGAGGACUGGGAAGGGGCACCAGGCUGCCUCUGACGCCCUGCUUAGUUUGAGAUGUCUUCAGCGGCCAAAGGGACUUGCUCCAGAUCCAGUAUUUCUACAAGAAUACCUGCGGCGUUCUUUACGGCGUCUAUGGAUGUCAGCAUCUCCUACUGUGAUUGCUUACUGUAGCUUGUAAUCGGCAACAACUCCCUGACUGUAGUAGUGCUGUGCAGUGGAAAUGAUGCUUGCUAAUUGGCAAUGGCUCUGUGAAGCUACGUGACUGAUGCUCAUUAUACUUUUGAGCUACAUAGUCUUUCAGUGUGACUCGACCGCUCUGCCCAAAUCUCGACCAACAUUCUGUAGUUUUGUCUUAGGCAGGUGUUGACACUGGGAUAAUGUAUCAGCACAAAUUUGCUUGGAGGACAAUGAUAGCGACAAAAACAUUUGUCGUCGGACAAUGAUAGAGGAAAAAUAUUGUUGAAGUCAGAUUACUCUGCUUAAUCAAACUGCAUCAAUGUACCUUUUUUGUCCCAAGGAAAAAUGGAAGCAUGAAGC